GACGAACGCUGGCGGCGUGCUUAACACAUGCAAGUGGAGCGACGAACCAGGCUUCGGCCUGGGGCAGAGCCGCGAACGGGUGAGUAACACGUGGGUAACCUGCCCUGAUGAUUGGGACAACCCGAGGAAACUCGGGCUAAUACCGAAUGUGCCCUCCGGCCUCAAGGCCGCUGGGGAAAGGAAGCUUCGGCCUCCGCAUCGGGAUGGGCCCGCGGCCCAUUAGCUUGUUGGUGAGGUAANGGCUCACCAAGGCGACGAUGGGUAGCUGGUCUGAGAGGACGAUCAGCCACACUGGGACUGGGACACGGCCCAGACUCCUACGGGAGGCAGCAGUUAGGAAUUUUGGGCAAUGGCCGCAAGGCUGA
rnacentral:rRNA from 1 species